AUACGGAGGAUCCGAGCGUUAUCCGGAUUUAUUGGGUUUAAAGGGUGCGUAGGCGGCCUUUUAAGUCAGCGGUGAAAGUCUGUGGCUCAACCAUAGAAUUGCCGUUGAAACUGGGAGGCUUGAGUAUGUUUGAGGCAGGCGGAAUGCGUGGUGUAGCGGUGAAAUGCUUAGAUAUCACGCAGAACCCCGAUUGCGAAGGCAGCCUGCCAAGCCAUGACUGACGCUGAUGCACGAAAGCGUGGGGAUCAAACAGGAUUAGAUACCCUGGUAGUCCACGCAGUAAACGAUGAUCACUAGCUGUUUGCGAUACAGUGUAAGCGGCACAGCGAAAGCGUUAAGUGAUCCACCUGGGGAGUACGCCGGCAACGGUGAAACUCAAAUGAAUUGACGGGG
rnacentral:rRNA from 1 species